GCUACUAUCUAGAUCUACUCUAGUUUAGAGAAGAGAGGAGAGCUCUCAUCUCUAAACCCUAGCUUUUGCUCUGUCUAUGAAUAAUGAAUAAUGAUCAAGGGGGUGUUUCCUCCAGGGGCCAGGGGGUCUGGUUUUAUAGUCCCCUCAAGUGAACCUGGGCCAUCGGAUCAAACCGACAUUGAUUGAACGGUUAUUCUUGAUCCUUUAGGUCGGUGGAGCAUAAUCCGUGAGAUUGAGCGUGAUUGGCCACAGGAGGUGGGCGGGCGCCCUGUCCCUGACUCCGUUCGGUCUCCGCUUCCUUCCCGUGGCUUCUAGAGUCUUCUAGAUGUAAGAUAAUUGCGCGGCACAUUGAUAUCUCUAUGUAAUCCCGACGUGUGGGCCUUUCUUCCUUAUUUCCUGAUAACCCCCUACAGAAAUAGACAAACACCAAAACUCGUGGAAUUCUGUGAGAUAAAACCCUAAGUCUCGAUGUUGAUUUCAUUUGGAUCCUUUUCUUUGUUUAUUUGAUAGUUAAAUUUGAUACUUAAGGACCGUCAACAAACUCCCCCAAGCUUACCUCUUGCUCGUCCCUGAGCAAGGAUAGACUCAGCUAUGGAUCAUAAGUUGUUGCAAUAUCUUUAAAAAUUGACGGUACACAUGAUUUUAAAUGAGGUCUCAUCUCUGAGUUAGAGUAAACUGUCAAGACUUAAAACUUACUUACUUUACCUUUCACCAUGGGACUUGUAACCGUCACUUCUGUCUUGAGUGGUUAAAAGAUAGAACAGUCCAGUCAAGUGCCAUGUCGCUUAUUCUUGAUCAGCUAUAGCUCUGGAGUUUUUGCAGAUUUUCAAAUAAAACUCAGAGAUUCCUUUGUAUGACUCUCUCAUAUCUCUCUUUUGUGGUAUUUCUAGAUCCUUACCAAGGCAGUGAUGGUAUAUGUCUUCUCUCAAAAUAUGUGGUAUUUGUGGUAUAAGGGAUAGUGACAUUGUUUUCUCUCUCACCCUACUCUAAUAAGGCUUUAAUAUCUGGAGCUCAUAGGUGGGAGAUAAAAUAUACAUACUUACAAGACAUUUAUUGUAUAGUCAAACCAUGGAUCCAAAGAAACAAAUCAAUAAGCCAAAUCAAGAUGUGCAUGUGUGGCGAAUGAAUAGUGUAUGGUGAUGAUGGUGAUAACAAUGGUGAAAGUCUAAUUCUACUUUUGCUCUUUUGAGGGGAUACAUACCUUCCUUGCUUUUUGAAACUUUAUGAGGAGAAUGAGAUGCUCUUCUUUUUCUUUUCUCUCAGAUGGGUAUCCUGUACCCCUAAUUCUACUGUCGGACACUUGUCCAUUUUUACCUCUCGUCUCACUCUUUUUCUUUUCUUUCGAGGUUCCGGGCACUUGCCCCUUUUUAUUUCCUCGUUUAUUUUUUUUUUCUUUUUUUCUUUUCUUUUUUUUUUCUUCUUUUUUUUUCAGAGCACUCAUCUCUUGAGAUAAUAUAGCAAGUGGUAGUAGCAAGAUAACUUGAGCAUUUAUUUCACAAGGGAAAAACACAGAUGUUUUUGGCUAUUCUCUCCCGAAUUAGGAGUAGAAUAUUUUUAGGUGAUUCUAGAGAUGGAAAUGGAUGGAUAUAUGUGGAUGGUACUUCCAGAGUAGAAGUAGCAUAUAUAUGAGUGAACGUGCAAGUGAAUCUUGAUUUAACCACAUGACAAGCUCCUAAGGGUCUACACAGCUUGACCACACUCAAUGCUCAUAAGUAGUAAAUAAUAAAUGUGUGGCUCAAAGUCUAGCAAGCAUGUAUAUAUGGCUGUGGUAGGAAUUUAAACUUUCAUCAUACAGGAACUCAUCAUGCAACAUUUUAAAGAUUUUUCAAAGAUAAAAUUCUCCAGAAUUCUAGCAUCUCUAGGAAUAGAUAAACAGCAGUUCAACCUUCCCAUAUCAUAUCCGUUAACAACUUAGAUUUCAGAUCAAGUUUUCAUCCCACAAGUUUAGGUCUAGAGCAAGCUUUCAAUUAUCACAGUUAUAUCUAAACUUGAGAGAGAACUUAAAAUGUGCAAAUUAGGCAGAGCAACUAUUCAUCAUAUCCAUGCUUAAAUUUUAUUUAGAUACAGAUAGCCACUUUAUUUAUUUAUUAAACACACUAAGCAAAAGAUAUAUAAGCAUGAAAUCUUUAUUUGGUUUUUCAUAGUUUAUGUAUUUUAAUAUUCUAAAAUAAUAUAAGUAUAAAGAUAGAUAGAUAGAAAUACUUAUCGGGAAAAAUGGGGGUGCUCUCCCCCAAGCUGAAUUUUGACGUAAUUUCUCUUGAUGUAGCUAGCAGGUGGUAGAGGUGUAUUUGAAAGUCAGCAGCAUUCUGACAGCGAUUAGAAUGUCCUCCGUCUGCUAGUCUUCUUGAUUCUUAAAUUCUGUGGAGCUCAAAUAGACAACAAAGCUUUCGGCGAGGGUUCAAUGUUUUAAGUCUUCUUGUCAAGACUUCUCAUCGUGUUCAUUCUUCAGGUGCGUCAUUUGAUUCAGGUGCGGACCUUGACGUCUGCACCUUUUAAUACGGUGUCACCCAUGUUCUUCGUUUGCCCAGCAGUUCGAAGUGCGGUGUUAGCAGUAUCUUGCUCAGUGUGUUUGUGCUCGUAGUGUACCUGCUCAUAGAGACAAGGCAGAGAUCAUGUGCAUGGGCCCUGUUGGUGGAAAAUACCAACAGAACCAAAAGUGUAUUUGUUCUUCUCUAACCUUAAGCAUAGUGAGCAAGACAAGUUGAUGGAUGAUAAGUUCAUGAGUGUAGCACUUAUAACAUUUGUCAGAUCAGAUCGCUCAACCUUAUGGAAAGAUAAUCUAUCUAUGUAUAUGUCUUUUUCUUUAUAUCUCUCAAUGAUUGAAUGUGUAACAUUUUAGCUCAUAUGAUUAGGAGUGUGGGAUCAUGGAGGUAGUACUAAGAACAAGGAUUAAAGGACUAAACAUGUUGAAUUAGUUGGGUUGGUUAAUCUAGAGUUGUAAAUCAUACACGUUUGUCUCUUUUAUUUAUAUGAACGCCAGAACCAAGGAGAAGCUUAUAAAAGUGAUAGUCAAGUACCUUAAGAUGUUACCUUGCUCGAAGAGUGAUGGUAUAGUAUCAUCUUGUGGAAGCUUUCCUUUCUUAGCGGUUGGGCGUCGUGUUUGUGGUACCCUCCAUGGAUCAUCUCUUUAUGAUGAUGAGCUAUGUCAUUCUUGUGCUAAUUGUUAAACUUCAUGUGUCACUUUCUUCGUCUCUGAUGUGAGUUUAUCUCAGGACUUCCCAAAUCGAUAUCGAAAGUUUUUCUGCAGGGGUUAGUCCGACAAAAUAUACCAAUAUCUACUCAAGCAGUUUUUUUUAGUUCAAUAACCAAACUAGACUCCAUGUCUAAUCAGAUUAAGGAAGGCUAUUCAACCUAAGCACCAUGCUUAAUUUAAAUGCCAAUGGAAGUAUGGCGAGUACUUCCAAACCAACACUUGCUAGUAAAUAGACAAAGGUAGCAUGACAGCAUUUAUAGAGAUUUACUCAAGUGGAGAUGAAGUAGUGUGAUUAGUAUUUAACAAAUUGAGCAUGUCUCAAAGGUAGGGACAACCAGCAUAGCAACAUGGCAAAGGAUGUUUUUAUGUAAAGUACUCCCCCAAGCUUGAAUUUUGCAAAAUUCAAGUUUGGAUGAAUUUAAUUCAAUGUUGUAUGAUGAUUGGUUGGACAUACCUUGUGCUUGUCAUUCAUCCGAUCUUCUUGCUCCAAUCCUAGAAAGGUUAGUGACAAGAAUACCCGAAGGAAUAUUUUUUUACAAUUGUCCUUAUAUGCUCAAUACACAAGGUAAUGUUGCAAAUAAUUAAAAGCUCAUGUUACGAUCUGAUCAAUGCUUAUUUUAAGACACUAAGCUUGUCCUUAGGAAACCAUCAGUUUAUGUUGGCGAAGUGGUUUCCCCUCCGACGCCAACCUAUAUCUAGAUCAACUCAACGAGAUCUGCAAUAUUUAUUAUAGACAUAUGCAUCGACAACCGCCCUUUUAAAGUUUUUAUAAAUAGAAAGGAAGAGGGGGUUGGAGAUCUCAAGUGUGGUGAUGUCGGAGAGACCAAUAGAUUGGGAAGAUGUUGCAUAUGAGCAUGGAGUAAAUGAAGUGGCUAUGAAAUAAAUUCCAUGCUCAUUAAUGUUAUCUUCGUCUCUAAUCUGAAUGUUCGGAGUUUCUCCUGGAUUGGUCUCACCUAUGUCCUCUUCUGUAGUUGGAUGAAUCUCAUCUUCAAAGGGAGUCAAGUACUCACCAUUUGAAAUUGAGCCAAAGUCAGAACCUAUUAAGGCUUCUUCCUUAUCCAUCCAUUCUACACAUUCUAGCCAUUUAGAACUUGUGAUCAGGAAACGGGAGUAGAUAGAAUUGUCUAUAUGGCUUAGCUCUCCUUCACUUGAUAUGUCAUCCUCGACUUCUUCAUGAUAGGAACCAGGACAUUCUCUAAGAGAAACAUUAUUGCAAUGAUUUGAAUUAUCCCUGCUUGAAGGUCUCUUAUAGAACCAGAAGUCUAAACCAUCAGCAUCUAAAAGAUUUAAGGUCGGAAUUCCUUCCUCCCUUGGAGAAUUUUGGGGUAUUGAUGGUUUAGGAUCGAUAGCUAAAGUUUGGGAUUGAAGUGGUUGUGAUCUGGCUAUCGAAACUUCUUCUUCUUGUCUAGGAAUUGGUUCUUUCUCUUUCUCAGGGAUAUAAAAGCUAGGAGACUUUCCGCUCAUUAAAUCAAUCAAAUUCCAAGCUUCACUAGUGGAUAGGUGGUGGAAAGAUCCUCCAGAGGCCGCAUGAAGGGUUUGCUUAUUUUUCCUACUAAGGCCCUCAAAAAAGUGAAUUAGAAGAACUUCUUCUGGAAUAGAAAGUUUUGGGCCAGUGAGAGUAAGGUUAAUAAAGCGGUCCCAUGAUUUGCCAAGAGAUUCUUCUUCCAGUUGUCUAAAAGAAAGAAUCUCACGCCGAAGUUCCACCACUUUGGAGAUUGGAAAAUAUUUAGAAAGAAAACUACUAUAUAACUCCUUCCAAUCUCCAUGAACACUCCCUACUUUGAGUUUAUACCAAUGUCAAGCUUUUCCCGUUAAAGAGAACGGAAAGAGCUUCCAUUUAAGGGUCUCAUCGGACAUGCCUUCUAUGCGAAGGAGGUCACAGACUCGAUAAAACUCUCUUAGGUGUGUGUAUGGGUUUUCCUCACCUUUUCCUGAGAAAGGUUGUUUUUGAAUAAAUUCUCUAUAUUCGGGGUCUAUCUCAAAACUAGAUGCUACGAUAGGCUUUGAAGAUUUUGGUGGUUCGAGAUGUGUGCCCAUAGGUCUAUGAAAUUCAUAGAUAGACAUGUUUGAAUUCAUAAUAGACCAAAGAUCAAGGAUUAGAUAAGAAGAAAGAAUAGCAGAGAUGAGGCAAAGGAUAAAAGGAAAAUAUUUUUUUUUUGUUAUAUAUAUAUUUUUUAUAUAAAAUGAUUAAACUAGUUCGUAGACAACUCAGCAACCGUUUCCCCGGCAACGGUGCCAAAAAUGCUUGUUGACACUUGCUAACACCACUUGAAUACUAGGUUGUCAUCCCCAGCUUGGCACUAGAGUGUACUAUGGUAUUUAUACGCACACAGAUAAUCCGCAAGCGCACGGAUACCGUUGAAGCUUUUACCCGGUUAAAGGUUUUAUCGUAUCCACAGGGAAAUGGGAGAACUGAUCUACGCUCUAACUUAACCAAGAUAAGUAAAUAGGUGUGAAUAGGAAAGAUGGUAGAAUCAAAUAAGAACAAUAUUAAAGGUAAGAUAAUAGUGAGUGAUAAAAUGGGAAUUGAGACUAGAGCAAUUCUAGUAUAUGGGCGAUGGUAGCAGAAUAGAGAGGAUAACUAUGGUUUCUCUACUUCAAAGGGGUAUGGCUAUGUCUGGGACGAACCACGUGAUAAGAGUACACCACAAAGGAUGCUUAUCCAUAGGCCUAUAAACACUACCCGUCCUGCUAACGAGAGGUGGACUACAGGGGACCAACGUAACUGUCACCUACGCGGCCUACCACACGAUCCAGCUAGUCAGGGGAUAUCCACAAGUAAUCUAGGUCUAAGCACCACGCUUACACCUAUACUACAACUCUAACCUAUAGGGUCCUAUAGAUUAGAAGUACUCAAAAGAGUAGUGAACCAGAACAUACAUGAUUAGUAAUUGCAUAAUGAAUUAGAAGUAGAUUACCAGAGUCAUCCCAUGAGCAAGCUUGAUUAGAGCUUGAUCAUGGCGAAGUACAACCGGAGGAAGAACCGACAGGCCGGCCUCUCCUCUAAUCCUCCUUCGCUCUCCAUCUCGCUACUAUCUAGAUCUACUCUAGUUUAGAGAAGAGAGGAGAGCUCUCAUCUCUAAACCCUAGCUUUUGCUCUGUCUAUGAAUAAUGAAUAAUGAUCAAGGGGUGUGCCUCCUCCAGGGGCCAGGGGGUCUGGUUUUAUAGUCCCCUCAAGUGAACCUGGGCCGUCGGAUCAAACCGACAUUGAUUGAACGGUUAUUCUUGAUCCUUUAGGUCGGUGGAGCAUAAUCCACGAGAUUGAGCGUGAUUGGCCAUAGGAGGUGGGCGGGCGCCCUGUCUGUGGCCCCGUUUCGCCUUCGCUUCGGUCUCGUGGCUUCUGGAGUCUUCUAGAUGUAAGAUAAUUGCGCAACACGUUAAUAUCUUUACGUAAUCCCGACAUGUGGGCCUUUCUUCCAUAUUUCCUGAUAACCCCGACAAACACCAAAACUCGUGGAAUUCUGUCAGAUAAAACCCUACGUCUAGAUGUUGAUUUCAUUUGGAUCCUUUUCUUUGUUUAUUUGAUAAUUAAAUUUGAUACUUAAGGACCGUCAACAUUUGCAAGCCACCUACCCAACAAUUCUAUUUGCUAUGAUCACUAUGCACACAAGAACUAAGUCUCUACAAGUUACACUAGUGAACUAAGCUACACAAUGCAAAGUAAGCAACUAAAACUAAUUACACUAGUUUGCGAUGAGUAAUAGAUAGGAUGAGAUAUUUAUACCACUAUGUAGGGGAUGAACCAAUCACCAAUAUAAACAAUCAAGCACCGGGAGAAAGCCAAUCAAACACAAUUGCGACACCAAUUUUUCUCUCGGGGUUCACGUGCUUGCUGGCACGCUACGUCCCCGUUGUGUCGACCAACACUUGGUGGUUCGGUGGCUAAGAGGUGUAGCACGAACCUCGUCCUCACUAGGACACCACAAGAACCUACCCACAAGUGAGGUAGCUCAAUGACACGAGCAAUCCACUAAUGUUGCUGUUGGGUACCAUAAAAAGGGAUACCCAAAUUAGAGCAAUAAAAAACGCAAAAGACAAAGAAAAUUAACCACAAUCACUAGGGCACGGGCCCCAGCUCAUCUGACUCCUAGGCCUCAGGUCCAAACCACGACUCGCCCGACCCCUCAGGGCCUCGGACGCAAGUUCCGUCUCGCCCGACCCCUCAGGGCCUCGGACGCAAGUUCCGUCUCGCCCGACCCCUCAGGGUCUCGGACGCAGACACCGCCUCGCCCGAUCCCCUCGGCCUCAGGCGUAAAUCCCGCCUCGCCCGACCCCUUCAGGGCUCGGGCGCCGGGCGCCGCUCCACCGGAUCAGCAAGACUUCCACCGCACGGCGCCCGUACCCACGACGUGACACGCGCGGUGACUCCCAUACCACAGCAGGACAGGGUGGCGACUGUUCCAACCACCCUGGGCACUGCAGCCUUACCUCUUUCACUGUGCGACCUUACCUCUUUCACUGUGGUGUACCGCCUCACAGUGAAAAGGGAAUGGGGGAGGUUAAUCAGCAUCACUAUUUGCUGUCUUCUCCCACUAUUGACAGGAUGAUCAGCAGUACCACCGAACCGACCCCCAUGACUCCUACAGGGCUCGGUAACCCUCCACAGGAGCAACCAUGCUGCCAGCCAUUCCUCAAGGACAAGAUGGACAGGCUUCAACAGGGUAGGGACUGUAACUCUUCCACUCGGCAGGAGGAAAUCUACGCAUGUAAAUCCCUAUCUCCCCUUGAGGCUAUAAAAGGGGAGCCAGGGCUCAAAACUAGGUUCAGGUUCACACACGCACAACCACCGUGCUCAUUCACAGAGCAGCGACCAGCACUCUGUCCACCACAAAGUCGAGACCUGGGACUUAGCCCUCUCUCGCAACCUGCUUGUACCCCCCUAGUACAAGCACCUUUGGGUGCAAGGAUAUACAGACCCCCGAUCCCACUGGACGUAGGGCAUUCCAGGCCAGAACCAGUAUAAACCCUUUGUGUCUCACUUGCAUCACCAUCCAGGCUUGGGUAGUCACGCAAACUUAUACUCGUUUGUGUCUAGACCACGAGUCUAGACGCCGACAGUUGGCGCGCCAGGUAGGGGCCUUCUGUGUGACAUUCACCUGUCCUUACUAGGAAGGCUUGGAUGGCAGACGAAUUUCACCCACUCCGCCGCGGCACCAUCAUGAUGUUCCGGAGUUUGGAGUUCAUGUCCCUCGGCUCCAGCUAUGACAUGGUCCUUCUCCCGCCACGUGGUGAUGUCGAGCCUCGCCCUGAGCCGAUCCCACCACAGUCAGUGCGUGGGAGCCGCUCGGGACACCGUGCGGGGGGCACCCAGCGGGGGCGUCAGAAAUCCAGGAUCUCUGACCCUACCACUGAGGCCAGGGUCCGUCCGGCCCUCCCCCCGCAUAUUCCUCACCAGGUCGCCCGUUCCUCCGGCCCGACAGGCGCUAGAGGAAGGGCUCGCGGGGCAUCAAGCUCCGCUCCCCGGACCAACAGAGGGUCGUCGCGACCGCCUGUCCCGCCCCGGUCGAAGGGGAAGGCACGGCCCGCGCCCGUCUCCCGUGAGGGGGACAAAGGGGCCUCAACAUCCCGUCAUCCUCCACCUGUGGAUGGAGGAGAGGUAGCGGCACCUCCCGAGUUCCCUUUCGGGCUCAGGAAUGCAGCCGCCGCCUAUGCCUCUUCCGUGAGCACUUCGUUAAGUGCAUACGUGGAUCUUCUAGGGCACCACUUGAGAUCUACCCUGGACCUCAUCUCCACACCGCCCAUUUCGUCGUACCCAGAGGAUCCCACCUCAGGCGAUGAUGAGUGGGCCGGCGCUGACUUUUCUGGGUGUGGCGACCCGGAGACCUUCAUGCGCUUCUUGGAGGCCAGUAACUACUGUCUCGGCUACUACGACUCUGACGACAGGAGCUAUGACCCGUCACGAGAAUGCUUCAACCUGGAAGUAGGAGGGACGCCGCAUAACGCCCAGGGGGGCGCAGGACCCUCUAGGCAGGAGAAUGCAACCCCACUCCCAACCCUACUCCCGGGACCGAUCCUGGAGCCCGUGGGGUAGCAUCAGCGCCGUAGGAGGACACCGCCCUUAGUUCGAGUAGCUCAAUGAGCUGGAGGCCAGGCUCGAAGAAGAACGCGCAUGCCUCCGCCAACUCCGUGAGGCCCUGGUCUGAGACCCGUCCGGCCGCGGAGACGGGGGUGAGCCUAGGUGCCGCGCCCGUGACGUCAACCGCCGUAUUGUCGAGGACCAAGGGGGUGACGCCCCGGUCUUCAGCACGCCCAGCCAGAAUGUGAUGGCCGCUACACUCCUCCUCAGGGCGAUGCCCGAGCCAUCGACCCCUGAGGGAAGGAGAGUGCGCCAGGGGCUACGUGGCCUCCUAGAGCAGGAUGUGGUGCAGAACGCGGAAAGUUCUGCAUCACAAUCCCACGGCACGAGACGUCAAGAGGACCGACCCCCUCGUAACAAGGCACCAACGGUGCAAGGUCCGCCGCCUCCUAACCCACAAGGGGGCAACAGGGCCCCAUCUAUCCACGAGCGCGUCGGGGCUGACGUGGACAUUCGGGCCACCCUGGAGGCCAGAUGGCGUGACAGGGAUGAGGCCGAGUCUCGACGAUAUCGGCCGCGCCGAGGCGGGAGGUUCGACCCCGACCAUGACCGUAGCACGUCGCUAGAGCCCCCGGGUCCCCGCGUCUUCAGCGAGGCCAUACGUAGGGCCAAGUUCCCGGCGCGAUUACGACAGCCCGCCAACCUCACCAAGUACUCAGGGGAGACAAACCCCGAGCUCUGGCUGGCGGAUUACCGCCUAGCAUGUCAGCUUGGCGGAGCGGACGAUGACCUACUCAUCAUCCGCAACCUCCCACUGCAUCUGGCCGAUACGGCCAGAGCAUGGCACGAGCACCUUCCUGACCGCAUGAUCCAUGACUGGGCCAACCUAGUCAAGAUCUUCGUCGGGAACUUCCAGGGCACUUAUGUGCGCCCUGGGAACUCCUGGCACCUCAGGAGUUGUCGGCAGAAGCCCGAUGAGUCCCUCCGAGACUUCAUCAGGCGAUUCUCCAAACAGUGCACCGAGGUCCCCAACAUCACGGACUCCGACGUCAUCGGAGCCUUUAUUUCCAGCACCACUUGCAAGGAGCUCGUACACGAGCUCGGACGCAAGACCCCCACGAGCACUAGCCAGCUGCUCGACAUCGCCACCAACUUCGCCUCAGGCGAAGAGGCAGUUGGCGCUAUUUUCUCUGACGGCGCAGCCAAGGGGAAACAGAAGGCCGAGGCCACCGAGGCCUCAGGCUCACGUGACCCCAAGAAGAAGAAGAAGGGUCGCAAGGGGAGGUAGGGUCAGUCGGACGACAACUUAGUCGCCACAGCAGAUCGCAAGAACCCCAAGCGGGCUCCCGCCGGCCCCGGUCUCUUCGACGAGAUGUUGAAGAAGCCGUGCCCCUAUCACAGGGGACCAACCAAGCACACCCUUGAGGAGUGCACUGUCCUGCAUCGGUACUAUACCGACAUCAUCGCCAAGGAGGGCGCUGAAGAGCCCCCCAAGGACGACGACCCUCAGGGGGAAGGCUUUCCCAAGAUCAAGAACUGCCUCUUGAUCUUUGGGGGACGUGCGGCUCACCUCACUGCAAGUUAGAGGAAGCGCGAACUCUGAGAGGUUUGCGCAGUCAGCACGGCCACGCCCUCGUACCUUAAGUGGUCCGAGAGCGCAAUCACGUUCGACCGACAGGAUCACCCGGAUCGGAUCCCCAAUCUCGGGAGCUAUCCUUUGAUCGUCGACCCCAUCAUCGCCGAGACCCGUCUCACCAAGGUGCUCAUGGACGGAGGCAGCGGCCUCAACAUCCUCUACGCCGAGACUCUGGCCCUCAUGGGGAUCAGCAUGUCCCGGCUGAGGAACGACACAGCACCAUUCCAUGGAGUGGUGCCGGGACAUCGUGCCCACCGCCUCGGACAGAUCGAUCUGCCCGUCUGUUUUGGGACCCCGACAACUUUAGAUGGGAGGUCCUCACUUUCGACGUGGUCGGGUUCCCAUGGACCUACCACGCAAUUCUGGGACGACCCUGCUACGCCAAGUUCAUGGCCGUCCCCAACUAUACCUACCUCAAGCUCAAGAUGCCGGGGCCAAAAGGCAUCAUCACCGUCAGCACGACCAGUCAGCACGCCUAUCAGUGCGACGUUGAAUGCAUUGAGUAGGCCGAGGCUCUGGCCGAAUCUCUGGCCAUCCUUACCGGCAUCGGCGACUGCGACCAGGACGUACCUGACCCCAAGCGUCAUGCCAGGAGCUUCAAGCCGGCGGAGGAGACUAAGCUAGUCUUCCUCGACCCCGGGGCCUCUGAGGGUAGGGCGUUGAGGAUCAGCUCCAGCCUUGACCCCAAAUAGGAAGUGGUGCUCGUCGACUUUCUCCGCGCAAAUGCCGAUAUAUUUGCGUGGAGUCCCUCGGACAUGCCUGGUAUACCGAGGGAAGUCGCCGAGCACUCCUUGGACAUCCGAGCCGGCUCCAAACCCGUGAAGCAACGCCUGCGCCGAUUCGACGAGGAGAAGCGUUGGGCCAUCGGGGAGGAGAUCCACAAGCUGCUGGCGGCCGGAUUCAUCAAGGAGGUAUUCCAUCCCGAGUGGUUAGCUAACCCCGUGCUAGUGAAAAAGAAAAAUGGGAAGUGGAGGAUGUGUGUAGACUAUACUAGUUUAAAUAAAGCAUGUCCAAAGAACCCCUUUCCAUUACCUCAUAUUGAUCAGAUAGUUGACUCCACCGCGGGAUGUGAAAUUUUAUCUUUUCUUGAUGCUUAUUCCGGUUACCACCAAAUCAAGAUGAAAGAGUCCGACCAGCUCGCGACUUCUUUCAUCACUGUGGCAGAACCUCCUAAGUGUUUGGGCCCACCGACACCUGCCAUUGUCCUAAGGACCUCUGACGGUGAUGCCGGGAGUCCUCCCACUUUAGAAGUCCGAUGAGCAUUGCUGGGCGCUCAUUCCACUGCUACCUGUGGCGUACCAAGCUGGCUCGUCCUGACCACUGGUAAUGGUCAAACAACGAGAACUGUUUCUUCUCGCCCUUACAGGAUAGCAAGUGGCCACCUUAACACCAGGAUCAUUCGUUGCGAAGAUAAAGCAGUAACUCAACGACACAAGACCAAAAUAAUAUUUCAGAGUGAAACAGCGGAAGUAUUACAUAACUUAAUUUAUAAAAGGAGUUCUUCCAAAUAGUAGAGUGUUAUUACAAGCCUGGUCCAGCGGAGCAACAGAGACUUUAGUACAGACAGAACAAAUUUACAGACCCUGCCCAUGGGUCGCGCUCACUCUUCUUCGUCGUCAACCUCGACGACGGUCACACAACAGGGUCCGAAACAAGUCGGCUCCUGAGCUUCACCUGCAACAGGGGUAUUGAAACCCUGAGUACGGGAGUACUUAACAAGACUUAUCCGACGGGAAAAGAGGAGAAUUUAGGGAUGCAGGCUUAGGGUAGACAAGGGGUGGCUGAUCAAGGAGCCAAAGUGUUUUGCGUAAAAGCUUACUAGUAGUGCAUCCUUAUUUUCAAGUUUUACCCCGAAUUCCUCCCUCGCAGAGGCAGAGGAAUUCGAGGAUAGUUUAACUAGUUGUACCUCACAGACGAGUCCGUGAGUCCCUAGUCCUAUCAUAAAGUAUUAUUUAUCGAUGGCCAUAGCUUCAUGUCGCUAUGAGUCCGGGAAUUGGGAUCCGAACCUCAUGAGACAUUUUCCCCUUUCUCAUUUUAUCACUUAGUUGCAUAUUUAACUACGAUGAGGGUCGAAGGAAUUGAGUCUCCCAAUCGGGGAGCAACGACGAUUCGAAUCGCUUAGCAAUCCAGCUGGAGUUCCUAACCACCCGACAUAUGUAGAACCAAAUCUUGCAUAUGUCAACCCAAAGCAAGCUCUCCCCAAAUUUGACCAGGUUCGCGGCACCCGAGAGCACAGUACUCCACCAUCCUACAGCCGAUCUAGAUGUUUUCCGGUCAUCUCAGAUCCGUAAGGUGGGUACACACUACUCUCGCCAUCUUUCCACUCCCAGUGCGCGAGUAGCUGUUCGCGUCGAGGGAUCACAAGACCGGGCUUACCGAAGGCAAGUGGCUAGUACUAUAAAUUCUCAACCCAGCAGGCCAUCAACGGACCGGUCCUUAACCGACACAGUUGGAGACACUACUUUAAGACUCCAUUCUUAAAGCAAGUCCACCGACCGGUCUCAAGUUAAAACAUCAUUGACCAUAAGUGCAUCCCACAACAACCCUUCAAACUUUCUUGUUUAAAAACCUAUCUAGUAGCAGGGCUAAGCAUCGCUACGCAGUUUUAAAAUAAAACAGGUGUCAAGGACAGGAUACAGAUAUCAAGGUAGUAAAUGCAGCAAGUAGGUUAACCCAAUUCUCAUCUACCUAAUGCAGCAUUUUCCAUUCAUAAGUGAUAAAAGAUUUAAAACAUCCAAGGAGGGGUUAAUGCAUCCGGGGCUUGCCUUGGUUGCAGGGCAGAGAGGGACCCUCGGAGACUUCCCAAGUCUCGGAUCCGACUUCCUCGAAUGGAGCACCGACCUCGGGGUUCGGUUCAACGGGCGCUCCUUCGGUCACGGACACUAUACGCAAAAUGAUGAAUGCUUAUGAUAUGCGUAUGGCAAUUAUGCAAGAUGGACCGAAUUAAGUACGAUUUGCCUUUUUAAUGCAAUACAGAAUUGUCACUAAAUAAAGUUGUUUAAUAACUUAAUGAUUUUACUUAAGAGGUUGCAUCUAUAAACUAAAACUUUAUUUAAUUCAUACUUACCUUAAAUUGGUUAAUUAUUAACCCUAAUUACCUUAAUUAACUCUUAAUUAAUUACUAAUGACAGUAAUUAAGCAUUAGGGCUAAACAACAGUUAAAUGCCAAAGGUCAUUAGGGUUAAUGACCUCAGGUCAUCAUACAAUCCAAAAUCACUCAACUCUAAUUAUGAGGAUCUAAAUAAUCACUAUUUAAUUAUUUUGGAAAGAUUAGUUAAAUACUAAAUAAGGGUUUAUUAAUAUUUUAACUAAACCUUAUCCAAAUGCCACCAAAUUUUAGGUGGAGCCAGGGAAUAAUAUUCAGAGGCUCCCCAAAAUUUUUGGUGAUUUUUGGAUAUACAGUUAAAUUAUUAAAAAUCAUACAAGUUUUAUUUGCUAAUUAAAAGGGCCAAUUUUUGUAUCCUUGCAAACUAUUAGAAAUCAGAACCUAGUAUUUUUCUUGGAUCCUACAUAUUUCAGAGAGCUUAUACAAAAAUUCUCAUUAUUUUUGGAUCAUCACACGAUUUAUUACACAAAUUCAAAUAUAAAACAAAAACUGCAUAAAAGAAAAAAAAGAAAAGACACUGCAGCGGGUGGCCGGAUUUCGGCCCGCAGGCCGGCCCGCUUCGGCUCGGCCCGCACGGACGCUGCGCACCCCGCCUUCUCUCCGCGCGGUCGCUGACAAGCGGGGCCUGCUCGUCAGCCCCCCCCCUUCCUUCCAGCGAGACGCUGACAGGACGACCCCGCCUGUCAGCUGCGUCUCCUACGCGCACGGCGGCGCUGCCGCAGCUCCGGUGGCCGCUAGCGAGGUCCCUGGCCCCCGCGUGCGCGCGCACCAGCUCCGCCUCACCUCCGCGGACCCCUCUCUACCACGAACUCGCGCUCUACUGCCUUCUUCCUAUCGCAACCGCGUCACCGGCGGACGGCCGCCAUGGCCGACUAUCGGCCGACCACUAGGACCCGGUAGAGUGCAAGCCGACGGCCUAGGGAGCUCCCACAGGGGUUGGGGAGGAUGGUGCUCACGCUGCAAGUCUCGGGGAAGCAGCUGAAGCCGCUGGCGACGGGAGCAGUGUCGUCGGGCGGGGGCUCUGGCUCCGGCAAGCUCGUUCCGGCAAUCCUGCUCACAAUCACAGAGAGGGAGCGAGCGCAUGAGCGGCCGGGGCACGGGAGGAACGUGAAACAGUCGCCCGUGGGGUGUGAUACUCACUGGAACACCGUGGCCACGGGAAGAACUCCGCGGCGGCGGUCUCGGCCGGAGUUGGAGAAGAGGGAGGAGCUCUGGCGUUUGAGGGGGUUAGGGCGUGAGCUUGGGGGUGCUCUGGUUCCGCAAGGAGAUGGCGAAGACACUGGGUUGCUCAAUUCGGCUCGGGAAGGAGUGGUUAGGGCGAAUUUGGAAGAAAAAGGCUCGUCGGGUUCCUUGGCUCAGGACGGAGGGAAUGCACGGCGUCGUCCACGCUGCGCUCAAAUGGAGGGGAAAGCAAGCCCGAGGCAUCCACGUCGCCUGGCGACCCUGGCAGCAAGCAGCUGCGUGCACUCACGCAUGCGCGCGGCGCUGCUCGCGCGGCAGCUGCGCUGGGCAGGGAGCCGGUGAUCCCUAUCGGGUCACUGUAGCAACCCCUAUCUUCCCCCUUUUGUCCCCUUGCGAAAAUCAGCCAAAAUUUGAACUAAAGUCCAAUUUCCACCAAAACAAAAGUUGUGCCAAAUUUUGUAAACUACAAAUCAUAUUUAGGUGUCCCAAGCUGAUUCUCACUGGAAAUAGGUGAAUUUUGCCAGACAGUUUGAAAAUUCAAACUCAAAUCAAAGAAAUUCCAAAUUUUUGAAUUGGGGCAAAACAGAAUUUCCAAAAUUACUUUUGAUUUUGUAUAACAACUUGAAAAACUCCCAACAUGAAAGUUGCUCAACUUUUUGUGCUCUACAACUUUCAUGUUGACCACUUUUCAAAAUUCCAAAUGGAUUUUGAAUUGGGGGUUUAAGUUGGAAAAGGGGACACUUUCUGGAAAUCUGUAUUUUCAAAAUUACUUUGAAUUUUGUAUUGAAACUUCAAAAACUCAAAACACCAAAGUUGUACAUCUUGCCCAGAGCUACAACUUUGCUUUUGAACUCAACCUCAAAUUUUGCUUAGUUUUUGACUUAAGCAAAAGGGGACAAAUCUAGGAUCCAGAAAUCAGGGUUUUUUCCCCCCCUUAGCUUUUCGGAAAACUUCCACCCAAGGGUUUUAGCAACCACACAAGCAACAACACACCACAGAAGCACACUCUACUUCCCUAAGCUCAAGCAAUCAAAGUAAACUUAUUUUAAGUUGAUGCAUACUAAUGUGCUUUAACAAUUAUGCUUUGCAAUGCUUAUGAUGACAUGAUCCGUUUUUAGUAACCGUAACAUCAGGGAUGUUACAAUCACCCCUUUUGGAAUGUAUUGCUACGUAACCAUGCCUUUUGGCCUCAAGAACGCGGGGGCUACAUAUCAAUGAUGUAUGCUCCAGGUCUUUGGGAACCUUAUAGGCAAAACAGUGGAGGCCUACGUAGACGACAUUGUCGUCAAGUCCAGGAAAGCAAGUGGCCUAGUUGCCGACCUGGAAGAAACGUUCCAAUGCCUUAGGGCAAAGGGGAUUAGACUCAACCCCGAAAAAUGCAUUUUUGGGGUCCCCCGAGGCAUGCUCCUCGGGUUUAUUGUGUCUGAGCGAGGGAUCGAGGCCAAUCCAGAAAAGGUCUCGGCCAUCGCAAACAUGGGCCCGAUUCGUAACCUAAAGGGAGUACAGAGGGUCAUGGGAUGUCUAGCCUCCCUAAGCUGUUUCAUCUCUCGUCUCGGGGAAAAAGGGCUACCUCUGUAUAGGUUACUUAGGAAAUCCGAGCAUUUUUCCUAGACCCCCGAGGCCCAGGAAGCCCUCGACAAGCUCAAGGCUCUGCUCACCAACCCUCCCAUUCUGGUGCCCCCCACCGAGGGGGAACCACUUCUUCUCUACGUCGCAGCCACCGAUCAGGUGGCCAGUGCAGCUAUCGUGGUCGAAAGGAAGGAAGAGGGGCACGCCCUGCCGGUCCAAAGACCGGUGUACUUCAUCAGCGAAGUACUAUCCGACACAAAGACCCGAUACCCCCAAAUCCAAAAACUACUCUAUGAUGUAGUUUUGGCCCGACGGAAGCUCCGCCAUUACUUUGAGUCUCAUCCAGUCUCGGUGGUGUCAUCUUUCCCUCUGGGGGAAGUGAUUCAGAGCCGAGAGGCCAAUGGUAGAAUUGCUAAGUGGGCUAUAGAGCUCAUGGGUGAUGGGAUCACCUAUGAGCCUCGGAAAGCCAUAAAAUCCCAAGUCCUGGCAGAUUUUGUAUCACAGUGGACUGGGACUCAGCUCCCCCCACCACAAAUCUAGCACGAAUGCUGGACCUUGUACUUCGACGGGUCUCUGAUGAAAACUGGGGCCGGCGCGGGCCUCGUCUUCAUCUCACCCCUCGGGGUAAGGAUGCGGUAUGCAAUCCGACUCCAUUUCCCCGCCUCGAACAAUGCAGCCAAGUACGAGGCCCUCGUCAAUGGUCUCCACAUCGCGAUCGAGCUCGGGAUCAAACGACUCGAAGUCCGAGGUGAUUCUAGACUCAUCAUCGACCAAGUCAUGAAAGAGUCUAGUUGCCACGAUCCCAAGAUGGACGCGUAUUGCAAAGCGGUCCGAAGGCUGGAGGAAAAGUUCGACGGCCUCGAGCUUAUCCACGUGCAAAGGAAAUACAAUGAGGCCGCCGACACACUCACCAAGAUGGCAUCCAAGCGGGCCCCGAUCCCCCCGGAUGUUUUCGUCAGCGACCUCUACAAACCUUCCAUCGACUACAAAGACGACGGGGGGUCGGACGAACCCCCAAGUGAACCGAGCUCCGACCCAAAGACUCCGCCGCUCAAGAACAGGAGGCCAUGGACAUCGAGCCAGAGCCACCUACGUCUGACGACUCGCCUGACUGGCACUACCCUUUGCUUCAACGCCUAGUCGACGGCACUCUGCCCCCAGACCAGGCUGAGGUGAGGCGCGUGGCUCGUCGCGCCAAGACCUUUGUCCUCCUUGACGGAGAGAUGUAUAAGUGCAGCCCCUCGGGCAUCCUUAUGCAUUGCAUCCCACGUCAGGAGGGAAUCAAGCUCCUGCAGGACAUACACUCGGGGGCUUGUGGCCACCACGCCGCACCUCGGACGCUGGUAGGAAAUGCCUUCGGGCAAGGCUUCUACUGGCCCACCGCCGUGGCCGAUGCCACGGAGAUCGUGCGGACCUGUGAGGGAUGCCAGUUUUACGCUCGGCAGAUUCAUCUCCCCGCUCAGACCCUGCAGACGAUCCCCAUCACCUGGCCUUUUGCUGUCUGGGGCCUCGACCUGGUCGGGCCUCUGCAGAAAGCACCCGGGGGCUUCACCCACUUGCUUGUCGCAAUAGACAUGUUCUCCAAGUGGAUCGAGGUCCGACCUAUCACAAGGAUCAAGGCCGAACAAGCAGUGCUGUUCUUCACAGAUAUCAUCCACCGAUUUGGAGUGCCGAACUCCAUAAUCACCGAUAACGGCACACAGUUCACCGGGCGAAAGUUCCUGGAGUUCUGCGACAGACACCACAUACGUGUGGACUGGGCAGCAGUGGCUCACCCCAAGACCAACGGUCAAGUGGAGCGUGCCAAUGGCAUGAUGCUCCAGGGUCUGAAGCCCAGGAUUUUCAACCGGCUGAACAAGUUUGGAAAAAGGUGGCUCAAAGAGCUACCAGUCAUGGUCUGGAGCCUAAGAACCUCCCGGAGCCGAGCCACAGGCUUCACCCCGUUCUUCAUGGUCUAUGGGUCAGAAGCCGUCCUCCCCACUGAUCUAGAGUAUGGGUCUCCAAGGGUGCAAGCUUACGACGAAAAUAGCUGCAAAACGUUCCAAGAAGACGUGCUGGACUAGCUGGAUGAAGCCAGAGACGUAGCCCUCCUACACUCCGCCAAGUACCAGCAGGCCCUCUGCCGAAACCAUGCGCGACGAAUCCGAGGCCGAGCCUUUCAAGUCAGCGACUUGGUGCUGAGGCUCAUACAGAGCAACAAGGGUCGUCACAAGUUCGCACCCCCCUGUGAUGGACCCUUCGUCAUCGCCGAAGUCCUCCGACCCGGCACCUACAAGCUCGCCAAUGAAGCAGGGGAGGUCUUCAAAAACACGUGGAACAUAGAACAACUACGUCGCUUUUACCCUUAGAAUUCUGUAAAAAAUUUUCGUUUGUUCAAUAAAUGAAAGUUUAAGUUAUAUGGCCUUUUUCUAUCAGAGAGCCUCGGACCUGCCUAGCAGAGUCCGAGCCUCCCUCGGGGGCUACAUGGGGGGAACCCCCUGUGGCGACUCCAAAUCUUUUUUCCUUUUUUUCGCACGAGUUAAAGGAACCCCGACCCAAGGUCUUCCUCCUAUUCCCUAAAAAGAUUUAAGAAACCGAAAAUUCAUCCCCUGAAUCUUAAGGCAUGAGCCCGAGGAAAGAUCCGCGCUCACGAGCAAAGACGACCUGUACUCACCUUAGGGUCGGGGGGCGGAUCCACACUUCAAAAAGCUACUAAGGAAAAAGGAAAAAGACUUAGGCUCGGGGACUCUGACUAGCGCAAAACUCUAAGUAGCUCACCCGACCUCGCGCUGCCGAGGUCGGGUCGGCAUAAGGAAAAAGAAAACAAGACACUUAGGAAAAAGCCUAAAAGGAACAGUCAUAUAAAUAUCCAUACUUGGCAUUAAUAUUGUAUAUACAAUACAAGACCCACUGGCCUUAACAUCUACAAAAAGAAAAAGAAAUCUAACUUAAAGGGCCUUGUUGCCCUGCCUGCGCAGGCCCUUGAACCCCGAGGGGGGGAAGCUCCACCUCGUCAUCGAAGAAGGCGGCAAAGGCAUCCCCGGGGACAGUCGCGGCAUCCUCAAGCCUCUGCACCUCCUCCUGGGCCUCCGUCUCAUCAUCGGGGAGGACGUAGCCCUCACAGACCGCCGGCAAGUCAAUGCCGGCAUAGUGAAAGCUCACCACCGCCAGGGCUUUCUUCACCCCGGCGUGGAGCGCCUCCCUCAUCCUCUCCUCGGCCCGGGAGUAAAGGGCUUCGACCCGACUCCGCAGCGACGAUCUCGACGCCGGCACCCCGAGCCCCUCACACGCCGAGGUGACCACGGCUUCAAGAGCCGAGAGGUCCGAAACCUCGGUGUCAAGGGACCUCUGCAGGGCCUCGGCAGUAGAGGUCGCCUCGACCACCUUCCUCUCUAACUCUGUUGAAAAGCAGAACAAAAAAUGAGAAGUCAGGAAAAUUAACCCAAAGAACAAAGGGGGCCGAGGUAUAAAACGCAAGUCUUACCCUCGGCUCGCUUCUCGUGCUUCGCCGAGCUCCGAUGCCAGCGGGCCACCUGGCUCUGAGAAGCAGCAAGGUCAGCCUGAGUUUGGUUCAGGGCAAGGUCUUUUUCGGCGAGCAAAGCCUCAAGCCGAGCAACCUCACACUUAUACCUCUCAGCCGCCGCCUUCUGCUCCUCGGAUUCCUGGGUAAGGUCCCCGACCCUCUUCUCUAGGGGGGCGACCUUUUCCCGGGCCUCCUGAGCCUCGGAUGCGAGGGCCGAGCACUUUUGCCGAAGCUCGGCAGAGAUCUCGCACUCCUUCGCGAGCUCCCCCUCAGCCGCCUCCCUAGCAGCCCUUUCGUUUUCGCAGGUUGCCCAGGCAUCUCUUUCCCUGCAGAGAAAAACUGACUUCUCCAGGGAUGUAGCCUUGAGCGCCUACAGAAACGGAAGUCGCACAGGGAGUCAGUAUUGCAAAAUAGAGCAAAAAUACUCCACAACAUGGGAGGAAGCCUUACCUGGGCCAAGUUGUACAUAUCUCGGCUCAUGAGCUGAGAAGCUUGGUUGAUGGCCUCGACGCUGGCACGCCCGCAUGCGUCUAGACCCUGCCAGAGGUAAUCCUCCGACGGGUCGUCCAUAACGAAUCUGGCCCCUCCCUCUGCGUCGUCGAGGUUGGGCCAGAAUACGGGGCUCUUGCCCCAUCGGGCAUCGCCCUCCCCUCCCACCGCGGGAGCCUCGGGCGCCGUCUUGGACGCCACGAUGGCUCGGCCUUCCUCAGCCUGCGCGGGUCGGACCGCACCUCCUAGAUCCGCAUCCGCCGACGGAGACAUAGCCCCAGGGGCAGGGGACCGUCUCCUCCGGCCCUUGGGGCCUCGGCGCCCCCGUGUCCUGCCCCUGACGGCGCUCCCCCUCCUCGCGGCUCAGAGGGGGUGGCGACAUGGGCCUAGCCGACCUAGGAGUCGACUGUGCCCCCCUCUUCACGGCCUUUAGGGGGGCCAGCACCACCGGUGCCGCCUUUUGCUUCCGGCUGAAGAAGCAACACAAAUCAGAAGAAAGAGAAAAACAAAGAAUCAACGGAAGGAUCAGAAAUCCUAUACGUACCUCGCUCGGGGGGCAGCCUUCUUCUGGGAGCUCGGAGCUCCUUGGGAGCCUCCCGAAGCGCCAGGGGCCGUCGGCCGAACCCCCGUCUCUCCUGCAGACGUCGCAGGGGCCACGACGGUGGUCUCAGCCUGCGUCGCCUCCACCGAGGCGCCGGCUCCCGCCCCGGACGAUGAGCGAGGCUCGGCCAGACCCUCUGGCGCUACCGGUUGAGGGGGCGCCUCGGAUUCGCCCCCCGACGCCUUCUCCCCCUCCUGGGGACCCACGGGGGCUGAACCCUCCCGAGGUGCGCUGUCCUCGUCAUCCAUGAUAAUAUGGGGGACGGUCUGCCCGCCCCCCGGCGCCUGGGACCCCUCGGGGGCCUCCAACCCCCCUCGGGCCUUCGACCCCUCUGGGAUCUCAAUCCACCCGCCAGCAGGGGGAAUUAUGUCGUCCUCCUCCACCAACUCGUCAAGCCAGUCGGCGUUGUCUCCUCCACCCUCUAUCUCCGAGACCGAGGUCUCGGGAGAGGGGGGCGUGGCGACCCCCACCUUCUCGGCUUCACGGUGGUUCUUGGCGGAGAUCUCCUGCCGUUGCGCUUUCCGCGCUGCUUUAGCCUUCUUGUCCUCCUUGGCCUUCUUCUGUUCGUCAUUCCGGGCCCGAUUCUUGGCCCGGAUCUCCUUGUCCUCUAGGACAGGAGGCAAGGAAUCCCUGACGAUCCCCAUCCUCUGCAAACAACCAAGGGUCAGGAAAAAGGCAGGAAGAAAAAGGAGGCAGGCGCAAAAAUUCACACUUUACCAGAGAAAUGUAGCCCUUUUCAGGGCGCAUCGGCACCACCCGAGAGUUCUUCAUGUCCGGGUGCGUCGUCUUCUCCACCCGGGCGGUGAUGUCUGAUGCCGAUAUCGGCUCGGCCAGCAUCUUCGUCCCAGCCCAGGGGACGUCCUGAGUCAUCUCAAACAUGAACGCUCAUCGCUGCGCCAGCGGAAGCAGACUCCUCUUGUGGAAGGCUAUCGCCACCGUGGCCGCGGUGACUUGGGCAUCCCGCAGCUUCUGGAGCCCCGCGAGAAGCGGGGCGAGCCUCUUCUGCUCCUCGGUCGGAGCACCCCACACCCACUUCUGGGGGGCCUCUGUCACCAUCUUCCCGGUGUACGGCGGGAGCAGACCGCCGUCAUUCCGGAGGUAGAACCACCCGUUCUGCCACCUCGGAUUCGACGAGGGCAUCGAACUCCAGAUGUACUGCCCAGCCCGUUGCUGACGAAGCUACAGCGUGCAACCGCCGACUCGCAGAGGGAACUUCUCUCCUCCUACGUAGCGGGCCGACAUCUCCGCCUUGAAAAGGUGAAGCCAGAGUUUCCAAUGGGCGGGAACCCCCAGAAACCCCUCACAAACCGUAGCGAAGACGGCGGCCUGCAUCACCGAGUUAGGGUUGAGAUUGUGCAGCUCCACCUCGUAGUAGUGAAGGAUAGCCCGGAUCAGCCGACCGGCCGGAGUUCCGAACCCCCGGUCUAAGAACGAUAGGAAACAAACCACAUAGCCCGGGGGCUGUUUUGGCUCCCUGUCGUUCACCAAAGGAACGAUCCACUCCGGGAACUCAACAUCCUUGAGAGGACGGAGAAUCCUGGCCUUCACACGCGCCUCCAGCGCGGACUUGGUGACGCUGCAGGGCGGCCACACAUCAUCGCCGGCCAUGGCUUUGGGUGGAGAAGGGCGUCUGCAUGGCGGAAGUGAAGAAGAUGGCGGCAGAAGAGAAGGCAGGGGGCAGGAGUUUUCUUGCGCAAGAGCAGUAGGAAAGGAACCAAGUCCCCUGCGGCCGCUUUUAUAGAAGGGGCGCGCCACGGCCACGCCGCCUGCGCAGAAGGCCAAGGUGGAAGGAGAGCAACCGUCGCCCACUCCCCACCAGGUGAAAAAUUCGAAGGGCUAACUCCCUCCGAUUCCCACGCCCGCCGCACGCGUGCAUUUAUUUCGCAGGCGAAACGUCCCAUCCGUCCAGGGCGAAACGGCACGGCCGUUUCGAGUCCCCACGCGCCAUGCCUCAAAAGGUGUGCCUUGAAAAGUCAUGUCAGGGCGGUUCCUUCCAGGGCAAGCGGCACUCGACCCCCCACUGACCAAGGUCGCAGGGCGGUCUCCGUCAGGCGCAGUCCCUGUCUCGCCCGACCCCCUGCUAACCCCGAGCAAAAAUCGCAAGGCGGUUCCCGUCGGGUGCAGAUUUCGUCUCGCCUGACCCCAACACUACAAACAAGUCUGAAAAAUCCUUUCGAGGCCAAAAAUCCUCAGGCCAUGGCCACCUACGUUCCAGAGGUUGCGAGACUGACCUGCAAAACAGGUUCGAACAGUCGCCUCAGGAUGACUGAGCGAGGGAUGAUUGAAGAUGAGCACAAUAGAGGCCAAGGUCCGAGCCCCGUAGGGAGUCGGCGCAUCUUUACUAGUCAUAUCCGAGACCCAUGCGGGUGUCACGUGAGUGGGAUCCCAUCGAGGGAGGCACCGAGCCCUCGGAACCUAAUAAACGGUUCCGACAUCCACCGUGACUGCCCUCGGCUAUUUUUGAGAUGUGCCCAUAAGGCCACUAGCCGACCCCAAUCGAAUGGGACUCGGACAUCCACUUGGAUCUACCCGCUUGCAGCUCCCGGGAAGCGUCGCUACUCGCCCAUCGAGAGUAGUACGGCACGACCCACCCCUCCUCCGAGCGAAAGGAAGAAUGAGGGACGUAAUCACAAGACGAGAAAGAACCCGAUCGACCCUUGCGGGGAAAGGCCUCGAGGGCUUCCUCGCACCAUGGGAACAGGCACUACGUGUAAAGAACACGCAACCUAUCCCUCAAAUACUCCAGACUAUAGCACUCAGGGGUAAAAGGCUUUGAAGGAAUAACACCAUUCCUCCAAAAGGCUCGGGGCCUACACCCGGCAGAUGCGCUCGCGCGCACCCUCCGGAGAAAAGUAAAAAAGUUCCCGGUCAACAAUAGUCCCUUAGGAAAGAACCUCUGAAGAGGUGACCUCACCCCUUCAGAGGCUCGGGGGCAACUGUUGGGUACCAUAAAAAGGGAUACCCAAAUCAGAGCAAUAAAAAACGCAAAAGGCAAAGCAAAUUAACCACAAUCACCAGGGCAUGGGCCCCAGCUCAUCUGACUCCUAGGCCUCAGGUCCAAACCACGACUCGCCCGACCCCUCAGGGCCUCGGAUGCAAGUUCCGUCUCGCCCGACCCCUCAGGGCCUCGGACGCAAGUUCCGUCUCGCCUGACCCCUCAGGGUCUCGGAUGCAGACACUGCCUCGCCCGAUCCCCUCGGCCUCGGGCAUAAAUCUCGCCUCGCCCGACCCCUUCAGGGCUCGGGCGCCGGGCGCCGCUCCACCGGAUCAGCAAGACUUCCACCGCACGGCGCCCGUACCCACGACGUGACACGCGCGGUGACUCUCAUACCGCAGUAGGACAGGGUGGCGACUGUUCCAACCACCCUGGGCACUGCAGCCUUACCUCUUUCACUGUGCGACCUUACCUCUUUCACUGUGGUGUACCACCUCACAAUGAAAAGGGAAUGAGGGAGGUUAAUCAGCAUCACUAUUUGCUGUCUUCUCCCACUAUUGACAGGAUGAUCAGCAGUACCACCAAACCGACCCCCAUGACUCCUAAACAAUGAACAAUGAACACUCGAUUGAUCUAAUCCUGAAGAAUCCAUAUUCCAUUGAAUCAGCGACGGCUUGGUAACCACCUCUUAGCAUCCUUCCGAUCACUGGAAACACCAUCUUCAUGCCUUUUGACGGCACUCCUUGAAAUCAUAGAGAAUUGUGUAAUUUCUAAAGAACCCACAUCACCACAGAAGAUAUGAUAUUACAAAUCAUAUGUCUCUUAUUAGACAACCAUAUAGAAGCUACUGAUUCAAAAUCAUUCCUCAUCCUUCUAUUGCACCAAUCUAACAUAGAAUCGACUCAUUGAAAGAAAAGAUGAUAAAUUGACUCAUUUUCUCCAUCAAAAGGCAAGUCAGAUCAUUAACCUCUCUCCUUUUAGCAAAAUUAUCCCUGGUUAAAGGCCUAUUAUUAGAUAAUAGCUAGAGAAAAAAAUGAACUCUUAGUGGAAUACUCAAUUUCCAUGCAGCCUACACAAACAUAGGAACCACACCUCUAUGGUUAAUUAUAGCAUAUAAGGAUUGGACAGAGUAUUGGCCAGAAGAGCUAAAUCUCCAUAAGAUAUGGUCCUCCUCAUCUUCCAAAGUAAACUCUCCCUUACAGAAUUUAACUCUUCCCACAUAUGCAUAAGCCUGAAACUCUCCUCCUAAAAGAAAGCUACAGCUCCUCACCAUUUCAAAUCUCCUUAAUCGAUUUCCCUUGUUGCUCAUUAUAAUGUACAGAGGCCAAAAGAGAAUGGCUAAACUAGUGUUCCCCAGCCAUUGAUCUUCUUAGAACCUAAUCUUUUUGCCAUUACCAACCACCCAUCUAAUGCCCAUUUGGGCAGCUUGCAUAGCCCACAAAAACCCCCUUCCAAAAGGAUGAUGAUCCCACAUUCGAGGCAACAAAAAAUGUUAGUAUUCUCAGUUUUGUACUUGAAAUCAACAAUUUUAGUCCAUAUGGAAUUAGAUUUCAAGUGGUACCUAAAUAUCCAAGAACUAAGCAGAGCCAUGUGAAAACUUCUGAAAUCAAGAACACCUAGACCACCUACCUUCUUCUUUUGUGAUUUGUGAUACCAGUUGCCAACUUGCAAGAUGAUAUUGUUGGGAAUAUGCCCUAGAAGUAAUCAUAGAGAUGUAUCUAUAUAUUAUGUGUUCAAUGAAUAUCCAUUAAAGACAACUUAUAUCAAUUGACAAUUAUGUGAAUUGUUUGGGAAACUCUUUUACUUGCACUGUUCGCCUAAAUGGCCAUUUAGACCGUUUAAACAUGUAAACGCUACAUAGUGGUAUAUUAUUUCUGUUUAAUCAUCCGUUUAGUCUAUUUAAUUGACUGUUUAGCCCAUUUAAUGGACUAUUUAGCCCAAAUAAUGGCUAAACAACAGGUGACUAACUGUUUACCGUUUAGCAUUUAGGAAAACAUUGUUUACUUGUAUGGUUAUUCUUAUAUUAUCCUUGAGCGGAGUUCGUGUGAGGACACACAUAAAUAUUAGAUCAACACAUGUAUUAGUUGAUAACUAUGUUUCACAAGUCAUAGAUAUAGAGAUGUUAAACUAAUAAUGUGGGAACAUGUAUGACAUGGGGCUGGACUGACCCAACAUGAGAUGUUAUUAUUAUCCCUAUUCACAUCAUAUAUGUUAUAUCCUUAUACCUAAGAUUGUUGUAUGUAUUCAAAAGGUGAAAUGACCUACUCAAGGACAAUCAAAUGCUACUUCAUAAUUAGGUAGUUAUAAAAGUGGUUUUUGGGUUUGCUGGGAAACAUGCUUUAAGACAUAGACAAUCAAGAUGGAAUUUUCCCCUCUCUAUAUGAAAGAGAUAUCACUGGAUGACUCUAAUAAUUAUAUCAAGAAAUGCAUGGACAUGCUUGGGUUAAGUGUUAACCUAUGAGUUGGACCAAAUAUCUUGUGUCAAGAGAAUAAUAAAUAUAUGUUUUGUGGUGGUUCGUCUGAUAUGAUCUUUGCGUAUGCAUAGCAGUUGACACGCCUUCCUAGAGGCUGCUAUCAACUAAUGGUCGAGUAGAAGUACUCGGGCCAUGUCUAUGUGUGCGUGAACCCAUAGGGUCACACGCUUAAGGGGCUGGAUGCCUAAUUCAUUGGACCUGAAUUACAGAGGGCCUAGGAUUUACUAAUGGACCUCCAACUUGGGAGCACAUUAGGGAUGCCUAUAAAAAGAGAGGGUGGCGUGCGGCUAGGUUUAAUCCCACUCCAUUUAGCAGCUGCUACCGCUCACCCACACCCACACCUGUUACUCCUCAUGGACUAUUGAUGGUAGAUAAGUAUCCUUUUUAAAUUAUCAACAUAACAUGAGAAAGGACUAAAAUAUGAUUACCAUCUAGAUACAGGGGUUACACUGAUAGAAUUCCACGAGUUUUGGUGGUUGUCUAUUUCUAUAGGAGGUUAUCAGAAAGAGAACAAAAUAAGGUUCACAUGUUGGAUUUACAUAGAGAGAAAACCACAUCUAGCAUAAAAAGAAUACUCUAGAAGACUUGAAGAGGCGACCCUACGAAGUUGGGCCCACCUAGUAGCCAGCUAGGGGCACCCACCCAUAGGGUAGGGGCGGUUGCCCGUCCCCCUCAGCCAAUGAGGACAACCUCAUGGAUCCUACUUCCACCGACCUUGAGGAUUGUUGAUAUUAGAUAAGCACGUAGAGAAAUAAUCCACAAGCGCACAGAUAUCAGUGAGCACUUCAUUCAGGAGAUAUUCUAGAGUAUUGUUAUUUAUUUAUCCACUAGGAGAAAGCGUGCAUCUGACUAACCCAAAUCUAUACUUAACCCCUGGGCUAUAGAUAAGAUAGUGAGAUAUGAACAAUAUAGAGAGAAUUCCUUCGUCAGUCUUCUUCUAACCUAUGGUAAGCUGUGUAGUUAUGGUUCUAAGGGGGCACCUAAGGAAAAGAGACACCAUAGAGGAUGCUUAUUAACCUCGGCACACUAUCCUAACUUACCUCCUGACGGGACGUGGAUUACAGAGACACAAGGAGACUGUCACUUCCCCCUAAUGUUACCACAAAUCCGGCCGGGUAGGGAGUAUCUAUAUGUAUUCCUAGCCCAAGCACCAUGCUUAUGCUACAAAUAAUUACUCUGUUCCCAAGCACAAGUGAAUAAAGUAAACCCAUAAACCAAAGAACAAUAAGAACAAUAAAGUUACUAGUAUUAGAAGUUGAAUUGCUGAAUGAUUCUAGAACCAAGCCUUGGGUUAGGAGACUUAAUCCCACAAAUAGAACUAGAGUGGAGACACCAACAAGACGAGCUUCCUCCACUUCUAUCUCCACCCUAUACUCCCUCAAUCUCUCUUAUUGUUAAAACCCUAAAGAGAUAGAUCCAUUCAAGGGACCCCUCUCUGGCUAAUUCUCUUUAAAAAAUAUGAAUUAAGGUUUCUAAAUUGGCAGUGAUCCAAGGGGUAGGGUGUCUACUUAUAUAGCCCCCUAGGAGGCACCAUAGCCCUCAGAUCAAAUUGAUCUUCAUAGAUGGACAAGAUUACUCCUCAAAGGUGGUGCAGGUAGGAUCCGUAAGGUGGAACGUGAUUUGUGGAGCUGCUUGGUGAAAGGUCCUAAUAUGGCUAGAGGGGGGUGAAUAGCCUAUUUAAAAAUUCUACAAACUCACUAGAGCAAGUGGUUAGUAAAUAACAAAGCGAAGAUUUUUGCUCUAGCUCUAAAACCAUGCUGCUAUAGGGCUCGGUAACCCUCCACAGAAGCAACCAUGCUGCCAGCCAUCCCUCAAGGACAAGAUGGACAGGCUUCAACAGGGUCGGGACUGUAACUCUUCCACUCGGUAGGAGGAAAUCUACUCAUGUAAAUACCUAUCUCCCCUUGAGGCUAUAAAAGGGGAGCCAGGGCUCAAAACUAGGUUCAUGUUCACACACGCACAACCACCGUGCUCAUUCACAGAGCAGCGACCAGCACUCUGUCCACCACAAAGUCGAGACCUGGGACUUAGCCCUCUCUCGCAACCUGCUUGUACCCCCCUACUACAAGCACCUUUGGGUGCAAGGAUAUACAGACCCCCGAUCUCACUGGACGUAGGGCAUUCCAGGCCUGAACCAGUAUAAACCCUCUGUGUCUCACUAGUAUCACCAUCCAGGCUUGGGUAGUCACGCAAACUUAUACUCGUUUGUGUCUAGACCACGAGUCUAGACGCCGACAGUUGCCUUUGGCUCUCCACUGAGGUAGGCACAAACCUCUCACAAUCACUAGGAGAUGGCCACGAACAAUCACCAACUCGUGCCAAAGCUCCUCCACUGCUUCAAGCCGUCUAGGUGGUGGCAACCACCAAGAGUAACAAGAAAACCAUAGCUAGAAUGAUCCCCAAGUGCCACUAGAUGCAAUCACUCAAGCAAAUGCACUUGGAAUCACCCCCAAUCUCACAAAGAUGAAUAAUCUAUGAAGGAGAUGAGUGGGAGGUGUAUGCUUAGGCUCACAAGUAUGUCAAUUAUGUUAGAAUGCCAAGAGUGUGAGCCCAAAGCCGGCCAAACAUGUAUUUAUAGACCCCUCAAAAAAUAGAGCCGUUGGCUCUUUCACUGGGCAAAACCCGGGGUCACCAGACGCUGAGCAGGAGGCACCGGACGCUCAACCCCUACGUCCGGUGCUCUAGAAACGGCCAUGUGUUGACUUUUGAAUCUCACACGUCGGAGUCUAACAGUCACCUGCAGAGCACCGGACACGGUCAAGUUGCCACAGGACGCGUCCGGUGCACAUCGGUCCUAAACUCAGGGAGGUCUGCAAACGCGCAGGGUCACCGGACGCUGAGCAAUGGACCGUCCGGUGCUCACCGGACUUAAACCCAAGGAGCAUUGCAAAACGCGUGGACACUGGACUCAGAACACCGGACACUCUAACCUGCAUCCGGUGCCUGGCGUCCGGUGCCUAACCCUAGCUGAGCCAGGCAGCCUACACAUCGGACGCACAGGCAUAGCGUCCGGUGCUUCUGGGUCAGUGUCCGGUGAGUGUUUCUUAGCGAGAAAUACUACCGCGACUUCUCCAAUUUUCCCACCUGCGCAAUAGAAGAUAUGCACUUCAUUUUCUCAAAAAGCGCCGAAUGUGCACGUGUGUUAGCGUUUUCACAAUCAUUUUCUUCGAAGGAGUUAAGUUAGCUCACUAGGUUCUAAAUGCAUGCAUAUGAACAAUGACACCUAGUGGCACUCGAUAACCGCUUAGCCAAAGAAUUUCCCUCUUUAUAGUACGGCUAUCUAUCCUAAAUGUGAUCACACCUUCUGUGGUGUCUUGAUCACCAAAACCAAAACCCUAAGCAAUACCUUUGCCUUGAUCUCCAUAGGGUUUUGUUUUUCACUUUCUUCUUUUCCAAGUUGAGCACUUGAUCAUCUUGUGGUCAUCACGAUCAUCACCAUGAUCAUUACUUGCUCCAUCACUUGGCAUGUACCAACCUCAUUAAGUCUACACACGCUUAGCAUAGAGGUUAGUACUAGGGUUUGAUCAAUUAUCCAAAACCAAACUAGGGCUUUCAAUCUCCCCCUUUUUGGUAAUUGAUGACAACCCUUUUUACAAAGAUUUUCAAUAACAUUUCUUCGAUUCAUGUUGCUUGCCCAAGCAUUUUACCAUGUGCAAAGGUUAUGGACAAGUUUCAUAAACCCAAAUUGGUAGCAAUUGCUCCCCCUACAUAUGUGCUAAGAGUUUGGAUUUGAAAGCUUGCACAUAUGCUUGAACAAGAAAUAUAGGACUCAAUUUCUACCAAAUGAUGCUAAGGUGUAAAGAAAGGACCUUUGAAGCGUGAUACCAAUCGGAGUUGCCAAUGUAUACCAUCCUUAGCACCAAUAGUAACUAGACAUUCAUAAGAACUAGAACACCCCAUGAGAUCAACAUUAGAAACAAGGUUCUAGUAUCACUUGUGAAACAAAUAAUCAUUUGGUUACACUACCUAUGCAUGCUAGUUCUUCAUUUUAUCAAUCAAACCUAUAAAUAGCAUACACCACACAAGCAAGGUAUUAGAGAGAAAGUUUCUAAAGCUAAUGCUAAUGCAAGCAAACAUAUGUGAUGCACAUUCAAAUGCAACAUACAAGUUUAUGAGCUUGCUCCCCUACUUGUGUGCUUCAAAUUUUAAUUGAUCCCCUUCUUUUAUCAUGUUACUUCCUAUCUUUGUAUUUCUUUGUGGUUUCUCUCCCCCUUUAGCAAAUCUUUGGGAAAUUCUGUCCCCCUUUGUCAUCAAAGACCACAAAAGGUGAGCUCAAAUUUUAGAUAGGUUAGUGUGAAACCAUGUGAAGUGAGAUCAUUUUAGCAAAUUGGUUUAAUCUAGAUUACUUGCCUAAGAUAUUUAACUCGGUUUGAUCCAAGGACAAGCUUCUUCACACCUCCAAGUAAGGGUUAUCUUAUACCAUGUUGAGUUAAACGCUUAUAGCUCAUAUUCUAGAUCAAACACUAGGAUUGCAAGCCCGAAAACAUGUCAUAUGCUACCACUGGAUCAAGUCAAGCAUAGAAGCAAUAGUGGUACCAUACAAACAUCAAAUUCAUUUGAUUUUCAUUAAUGAGCCUAAGACAUGGGAGGAAUGACUAGAUGCACUAAACAAGUCCUUAGCAUAGGAUGGAUGACAUGUCAAACAAUUUUACCUUGGUUUGCUCAAAGGAGAGGCAUGUCAUAUAAUGGGGGUGCAUCAACACAUAUUUGAGAAGUCAAGUAUGUUCAAUUCAUUCCUUAGCUUGCAAAAUUUUUUCUCAUCAAGUGGCUUGUUGAAUAUAUCGGCAAGUUGAUCAUCGGUGCCUAUACUCUCAAUGCAAAUGUCUCCUUUUUGUUGGUGAUCUCUUAUGAAGUGAUGACAGACAUCUAUGUGCUUUGUUCUUGAGUGUUGAACUGGAUUGUUGGUGAGCUUCAUGACACUUUCAUUGUCACAUAGCAAUGACACAUGCUUGGAGUUGAUUCCAAAGUCCUUCAAAGUUGCCAUCAUCCAUAGGAUUUGUGCACAACAACUACCGGCCGCAAUGUAUUCCGCUUCGGCGGUUGAUAGUUGAACACUAUUUUGUUUCUUGGAGGACCAUGAGACAAGUGAUCUUCCCAAUAGUUGACAUGUGCCUGAUGUGCUUGUUCUCUCAACUUUGCAUCCCGCAUAGUCCGAAUCGGAAUAUCCAACAAGUUCAAACUUUGCACCUUUGGGAUACCACAAACCAACAUUUUGUGUAUGCUUCAAGUACCUCAAUAUUCUCUUUGUUGCUUUCAAAUGACUUUCUCUUGGUGAGGCUUGAAAUCUUGCACACAUACAUACACUAAACAUGACAUCCAGUCUUGAUGCGGUCACAUAGAGUAGGCUUCUAAUCAUAGACCGAUACAACUUUUGAUCCACCAUAUUUCCACUUGUAUCACUAUCUAGGCUUCCAUUUGUUCCAUUGGUGUGCUAAUUGAUUUUGCAUCAUCCAUACCAAACUUCUUGAGCAUGUCUUUGAUGUACUUGCCUUGACUCACAAAUGUGUCAUUCUUCAAUUGCUUGAUUUGAAGACCAAGUAAGUAACUAAGCUCUCCAAUCAUUGACAUCUCAAACUCAUUAGCCAUCAUGUUCCCAAACUCCUCACAAAAUUCUUGAUUGGUUGAUCCAAAUAUGAUAUCAUCAACAUAGAUUUGCAACACAAACAAGUAUUUGCCAAUCUUUUUGGUGAAGAGAGUGGUGUCAACCUUGUCCAUCUUGAAACCUUUAGAGAGUAAGAAAUCUUGUUGAUGCAAAAGCGGAUCUGCAAACACAAAGGGCUAAUACCCGAUUCAAACGUUAAGGCGUGCCAGCCGAUUUGACCUUACUAUCGGCAAAGGUGAUAACUCGAAUACUUUGGUCCCGACAACAGCGAGGCGCCUGGAUGUCACGGCCAAGAGGUAUUCACGCGGAACUCGAGAACACGCUGAGCUUAAGUCGAUGAAUUCCUAAGAACUCGUAGAAAAAAGGAAAAUAUGAUGAAGUCGUCGAAAAGUAGAUGCUAGAAUAUGAGUAAAAACUUGUGUUUAAUUGAUUGAUAGAUAUCUCAUUACAAGGCCCUAGGGUCUACAUUUAUACCCUGCUCAAAGAGCUACAAUCAGACACGACUAGGACUCAAAUUCCAAAUUAAACGGAAUCCGUAUACAAAAUGAAUUUAAGUAUCUAUGGAAAACAUAGAACUAUCCUCCCGUGACAAACCGGGACACCACCAUAGAUCAAUCGGCAACCUUCACGUCCUCCUUCCAAGUCAUCGGCAGGCUUCUCAUCAUAACCAUCGGCAAAGACUAACGCUGACCAUCGGCACAAACGCGUCGCCACUUCUGGACUUAGUCACAUUCAGCUGUCUCUUCAUCGGCAACCACCAUCAUCGGCAACUCCCCUGCAGACCAGUUACUGUCGCCCCAUAUUGCCGACCUAUACUUUACCGAUCCCUGGGUACGUGCCCAAAAACGGUGUCAACACAUGCCCCCCAAUUUCGGAGUAUAAAAUCAUUAAUGCUCCGAAAUUCUCUGCAGUAAUGAUGCCUUUCCGCAAUUAAUUCUCUCAAUUUGGUAACGACCGUUGAAGUCGAACAACCCUGGCCUGAUUCUUCCGUAGAUUCCUCGAAUUCCUCAACCUCCCAAACUAGACAUCUCCACUUUAUUCGCCCAUCGGCAAUAUUACCGUUAGAGGGAGCUGCCGAUGGACCGACCAGGAGAUCUUGCACAGUGAAAUAUCUCUAAAACCACGACCGCCUGCUGUCAAAUCACCUGUGCAAUCCCUUGAUUAUCAUGCAAACAGUUACCAUAUCCAUCUAAACACCCUCAGAUUUCAUAGAUGCGGCAAAGAGAUAAGUCAGAUUUGCCCCUACCCAUUUUGUCCUAUAAAUACUUCCUUCUCGGGUACUCCUUCUCCAUCUUGUCAUUCUACAGCCCAAAACUUACUUUCACGAUGGCGGCACCACCCGGGGUUUCCAAGAUCUCCAACGAAGGCCUUUCUCCACGAACCCCAAAGUCUUCGAUCAUCUUCCUUGCGAGGAGAUGGCCAUCAACUUCGCUGUUCCUGAGGUCAGUUCACCACCCCAUCUCUUGUACUUUUACCAUACCCCUUGUUGGGUAUUCUUAAUAUCAUUACCAAAAGUAGACAGUUUCCUAAUUCUAGUAACGGUGCCAAAAAUGCCAAACCUAUCCCUCAUACCACUUAAGCCAAGUUGUCAUCCCCAGCAUGACAUGAGAGACGCAGUAUUGAAAUAUGCAAUUGCUCUUCUAAAUAAAUAAUGAAUGGGAUCUGCAAGCGCACAGAUUAAUACCGAUGUAGCAUUUUAACCGGGAAGUAUUCCAGGUAUCGUUAUUUAUAUUUUUAGCACUGGGAAGGGAUUAGCAAUCAUCAAUAUUGAUUACAGAAUAGAAUAUGAGAUUGAGUAUCUAUCAUUGCAUAUAUAAUUGAGAACAUUUAUCUAUCUCUUUCAUACAGGGGUAAGUGUCACAUAAGGGAUAUAUGAAAUAAUGAAUAGUGACAAAGAUAAUUAAUCUGAUCAGCAUAACUUAGCCACAUAAUAAAUAUGAUAAGCACCUCAAUUAGAUACUCUAGAAAGUCAUUAGCAUGGUAUUAGAACGAACUACAAGAGUAUUUCCUAAGGUAUUCUCAACUAUAUAGUCUAGUAUUAUCAUAAUUAGUGCAAGCAUACUUAACAAUCAUUGUGAUACAAGACUACGCCCAUGCAUAGUGAUAUUAGCAAGGUAAAUGAGAAACUUAGCAAUUACUCCCCUGUAAUAAUAUUGCUCUGCCAGCCCAAUACACGAGCGGGGGACUAUAUAAGAAUCAAUGAAGCUGUCACUAUCACGAACUACCCCACGAUCUGGCAUAUUGGGUACAAUCGCAGAUAAAUACGGUAUAAGCACCACGCCUACACAAUAUCUAUCAUUUACCCAUGGAUCCGAUGGAUAAACUCUAUACGAUCCUAAGCAUGUAUAUAGAUCUAAUCUAACUAAGCCAAGUACAUAACUAUGAUAAACUAAGAACAAUAUAAUCUUGAAUAUAAACAAGUAGAGCAAAGUCAUAAGCAAUAUAUUGAAGUAAAACAAAGUCAUAUUCAUAAUAUUGAAGAACAAAGAUGAUUAGAAGAACAAUUAGAAGCACAAUUAGAGCAUUACCAAGAAUCCUCUUGACAGAUUCGGAAACCAAUCGAAGAUUGACUCCUUCUAGUUCUAAUCCUAUGUAGCUAUGCUAAUCUAGAUGUCUAAUUGAUGUGGUGGCUCUAAUCUUGAUCAGAGGCUUCUUCUCCCUUGAGGAAUAAUGAAUUAGGGUUGAGAGGCUCUCUCCUCCAGGGGCCAGGGGGUCUGGUUUUAUAGUCCCUUCAAGUGAAUAUGGGCCGUUGGAUCAAACCGACAUAGAUUGAAGGGUUAUCCUUGAUCCUUUAGGUCCGUGGAGAUCUUCCCCGAAACAGAGUCCUGAUUUGACUCCAGAGGAGGGCGGGCGCCCAGGGCAACAGGGCGGGCGCCCAGUGCCUGGCCCCGUUCGGCCUCCACUUCCUUCCCGUGGCUUAUAGAGUCUUCUAGAUGUAAGAUAAUUGCACGGCACGUUAAUAUCUCUAUGUAAUCCCGACGUGUGGGCCUUUCUUCCGUAUUUCCUGAUAACCCCCUGCAGAAAUAGACAAACACCAAAACUCAUGGAAUUCUGUCAGAUAAAACCCUAAGUCUAGAUGUUGAUUUCAUUUGGAUCCUUUUCUUUGUUUAUUUGAUAAUUAAAUUUGAUACUUAAGAACCGUCAACAAACUCCCCCAAGCUUACCUCUUGCUCGUCCCUGAGCAAGGAUACUCUCAGCGAUGGAUCAUAAGUUGUUGCAAUAUCUUUAAAAAUUGACGGUACACAUGCUUUUAAUUAAGAUCUCAUCUCUGAGUUAGAGUAAACUAUCAAUACUUAAAACUUACUUACUUUACCUUUUACCAUGGGACUUGUAACCAUCACUUCUGUCUUGAGUAGUUAAAAGAUAGAACAGUCUAGUUAAGUGCCAUGUCUCUUAUUCUUGAUCAGCUAUAGCUCUGGAGUUUUUGCAGAUUUUCAAAUAAAACUCAGAGAUUCAUUGUAUGACUCUCUCAUAUCUCUCUUUUGUGGUAUUUCUGGAUCCUUACCAAAGCAGUGAUGGUAUAUGCCUUCUCUCAAAAUAUAUGGUAUUUGUGGUAUAAAGCAUAGUGACAUUGCCUUCUCCCUCACCCUACUCUAAUAAGGCUUUAAUAUCUGGAGCUCAUAGGUGGGAGAUAAAUUAUACAUACUCACAAGACAUUUAUUUUAUAGUCAAAACAUGGAUCCAAAGAAACAAAUCAAUAAGUCAAAUCAAGAUGUGUAUGUGUGGCGAAUGAAUGGUGUAUGGUGAUGAUGGUGAUAACAAUGGUGAAAGUCUAAUUCUACUUUUGCUCUUCCUUCCUUGCUUUUUGAAACUUUGUGAGGAGAAUGAGAUGCUCUUAUUUUUCUUUUCUCUCAGGUGGGUAUCUUGUACCCCUAAUUCUACUGUCGGACACUUGUCCAUUUUUACCUCCCGUCUCACUUUUUCUUUUCUUUCGAGGUUUCGGGCACUUGCCCCUUUUUAUUUCCUCGUAUCUCUCUUUUUUUUGGAGCACUCAUCUCAUGAGAUAAUUUAGCAAGUGGUAGUAACAAGAUAACGUGAGCAUUUAUUUCACAAGGAAAAACAGAAAUAUUUUUGGCUAUUCUCUCCUGGAUUAGGAAUAGAAUAUUUUUGGGUGGUUCUGGAGAUGGAAAUGGAUGGAUAUCUGUGGAUGGUACUUCUGGAGUAGAAGUAGCAUAUAUGAGUGAACGUGCAAGUGAAUCUUGAUUUAACCACAUGACAAGCUCCUAAGGGUCUACACAGCUUGACCACACUCAAUGCUCAUAAGCAGUAAAUAGUAAAUGUGUGGCUCAAAGUCUAGCAAGCAUGUAUAUAUGGCUGUGGUAGGAAUUUAAACUCUCAUCAUAUAGGAACUCAUCAUGCAACAUUUUAAAGAUUUUCAAAGAUAAAAUUAUCUAGAAUUCUAGCAUCUCUAGGAACAGAUAAACAGCAGCUCAACCUUCCCAUAUCAUAUCCGUUAACAACUUAGACUUCACAUCAAGUUUUCAUCCCACAAGUUUAGGUCUAGAGCAAGCUUUAAAUUAUAACAGUUAUAUCUAAACUUGAGAGAGAACUUAAAACGUGUAAAUUAGGCAGAGCAACUAUUCAUCAUAUCCAUGCUAGAGUUUUAUUUAGAUACAGAUUAGCAUAGCCACUUUAUUUAUUUAUUAAACACACUAAGCAAAAGACAUAUAAGCACAAAAUCUUUAUUUGGUUUUUCCUAGUUAUAUUUUAGUAUAGUAUAAAGAUAGAUAGAAAGAAAUACUUAUCGGGAUAAAUGGGGUGCUCUCCCCCAAGCUGAAUUUUGACGUAAUUUCCCUUGAUGUAGCUAGCAGGUGGCAGAGGUGUAUUUGAAAGUCGGCAGCAUUCUAACAGCGAUUAGAAUGUCCUCCGUCUGCUAGUCUUCUUGAUUCUUAAAUUCUGUAGAGCUGAAAUAGACAACAAAGCUUAUGGAACUG
rnacentral:lncRNA from 1 species